UUCUGGCUGUGGUGAGAGGAGGGUGUUGCUCCAGUCCGAUCCCGAACUUGCAUCUUUUGUUGAGCAUUCGUCGCCGCUGUCCGUGGCGGAGGGAAAUUCUCAUCUUUCUCUACACGUCGUUGCAGAUAACUCAAUAAAACAGUCCCCCCAUCCCUGAAGCACCAAGUGUGUAUAGAAAACGGAAUCUUGUAAACAGAAAUCAUCUUCAACAAAACCAUAUUCAGCCUGAGUGCACUUCGUCAAAUAUUCUUCAAGACAGAGGAAGACAAGAAGAAUCCACGGUCAUCUUCACACCGGAGAUAGAACCGUGAGAUAAAUAAGAGAAGAGCGAGAGAGAAAGAUAGACAGAGAGAGAGAGAGAGAAAAGGGCGAGACCGUCAAUAAAGAUUACAUCUCAAGAAGGAAAAGGACAUAAGCACAAGAAGAUGAGGACCUCGCUCGCCGUCCUGAGGAAGAGACCGCAGGUAUGUGUGGGCGUCCUGAGGAAGUACCGACGCCUGCGCAGAAGGAGCUCGCUCAAACAGGAGUACAAGAAGCUGAGGUCUCUCCUGCCGGGAUCCCACAGGGCGCCACAGCUCAGGAGGAAGGU